AGAGUUUGAUCAUGGCUCAGAUUGAACGCUGGCGGUAUGCCUUACACAUGCAAGUCGAACGGUAGAGGAGCAAUCCUCGAGAGUGGCGAACGGGUGAGUAAUACAUCGGAACGUGCCCAGUCGUGGGGGAUAACGUAGCGAAAGCUACGCUAAUACCGCAUACGACCCGAGGGUGAAAGCGGGGGACUCGCAAGAGCCUCGCGCGAUUGGAGCGGCCGAUGGCAGAUUAGGUAGUUGGUGGGGUAAAGGCCCACCAAGCCUGCGAUCUGUAGCUGGUCUGAGAGGACGACCAGCCACACUGGGACUGAGACACGGCC
rnacentral:rRNA from 1 species